rnacentral:rRNA from 1 species
GUAGGUGGCAAGCGUUGUCCGGAAUUAUUGGGCGUAAAGCGCGCGCAGGCGGUUCUUUAAGUCUGAUGUGAAAGCCCACGGCUCAACCGUGGAGGGUCAUUGGAAACUGGAGAACUUGAGUACAGAAGAGGAAAGCGGAAUUCCACGUGUAGCGGUGAAAUGCGUAGAGAUGUGGAGGAACACCAGUGGCGAAGGCGGCUUUCUGGUCUGUAACUGACGCUGAGGCGCGAAAGCGUGGGGAGCAAACAGGGAUUAGAUACCCUGGUAGUCCACGCCGUAAACGAUGAGUGCUAAGUGUUAGGGGGUUUCCGCCCCCUUAGUGCUGCAGCUAACGCAUUAAGCACUCCGCUUGGGGAUACGGCCGCAAGGCUG